UGAGGGAGGAAGAGAAUGAGAUUUUGAAAUCCAAUCUUCCAAGGCUCAUAACUUGAGCUAGAAAACUCCAAAUCACUCCGUUCCAAAGCCAAACUUAUAAGAAAUUUCGAGAAGAAUCCAUUGGUACCAGUAUUUCUGAGUGGGUUUCAUUGUAGAGAGAGAUCCUCCUCCUCCAAGAUUUCGGAUUUCAUGGAUAAUGGGGAUUUUGAUGGAGCUUGAAGCCAUGGGAGCUUGAAGUGUACCUAGGGACUGUGAACGUUUGGAUUCUCGUGGAGUAUGAUAAGUAGCUUGUUCUUCAAGUAAGCAGAUUGUAAAGCUCAAAGAGGAACACAGUUAAUUGAAGAGCCUCAUGGGACAAGGACACUAACCGUGGCUAGAGGUACUAGUAUGAGGAUGUGGAGUUCUGGGUGGUCGGAUGCUACUAUUUGUUUUAGACGUAUUUUUGGAGAAGAUGUAUUGUUGCAUAGUGUUCAUAUUCGAUACUUGUAUAUUUAUGUAUUCAGGCAUGAUGAUAUGACUAUGUAGUAUUCAGUUAUGUUAUGUAUUGGAUUGCAUGCUAUUAGAUUUGUGGCACGGAGCCAAGUUCAGCAUGCGCCCAUAGAUGGGUAUCUGAGUAUAUUUGCAUGACUGGUACUUCUGGAAAUAUAUAUUGUUUAAA